GCCUGCUGUGGUUUAGCUGUCCCCUGAGGAAGGAGUGCGAGUCAAGAACGCUUUUCAGGAGUGUUUUCCCUUUCCAUUUACCAGAUGAUGAAGCCAAGACACAGAUUGGGACUUUAGAACUAAAGUAACAUUGCUACUAAGCCCUGCAACCUUGGACAACUCCAAAUCCUCACUCUUUCUCCACACUACCUCCUUGAUUUGUACUGCUGGAGAUAUGAUCAUGGAUACAACACUGGCCCUGUCUUCAAGAUCAACACAUUGAAAAGGGUGGAGGAAAGAGACUUUUGAGUCCCUUGUCACAGAGAAGACAGAGCCACGGCCAGGGUUUCUGACCGUUCUAUAAAGUGCCUUCAGAGUUCCUCCGAGGAGCCACAGGAGUUACUGCUGGGGCUCUGGGCCG